rnacentral:rRNA from 1 species
AUGGAAACCAACCCAGUUCAGACCCCACCCUCCUCCCUCGCUGACGGCGACGGCGACGCCGGCGCUCCUCUGCAGCCGCAGCCCCCUGCCGCUUCUCCUCCAGCCGCAGCCACGCCGACGCCCCUCCGCAUCGCUCCAGUGGUGCCGGUUGCGGCGCCCGCUCCGACUGCCCUUGCCUCCUCGAUUCUCCAGACCGUGGACAUCCGCCGCCACGUCCUCGUCGUCCUCGACCUCACUGCCGGGAACUAUGCUCAGUGGCGCCGCCACUUCGAUGCAGUUCUCAGCAUGUUCGGCCUGCGCGACCACGUCGCCGCCGCCGCCGCUGAGUACUCCACUGACCCAGAGUGGGUGAUGGCCGACCAUGCCGUCGUCCACUGGUUGUACGUGACCAUCUCCCCCGAGCUGCUUGAUGCUGUGAUGGAACCAGAAGACACCGCGCUCUCCGUCUGGACGGCCGUCGACGACAUCUUCCGGGCAAACCAGCUGUCUCAUGCGGUCUACAUCGAUGCCGAGUACCACGCGGUUGUGCAGGGCGACCUCACCAUCAUGCAAUACUGCACCAAGCUCAAGCUCUACGCCGACCAACUGCGCGAUCUGGGACAGCCCGUCACGGAGACGCGCCAAGUCUUCCACCUCCUCCGCGGCCUCAACCGCCAGUACCACAAUGCCAUCCCGCACAUCACCGCGCGCGUGCCACUGCCCACAUUCCUCCAGACGCGCUCGUUUCUUCUCCUGGAGGAGCAUCACGCCGAGCAGUCAGCACCGUCAGAUGAAUGGAAGCGGGCGCACCCCGAACACGCCCUGCUCGAGAGCCCAGUACGCCACCCCGCGGUGUACCACUGCGGGGCUGAUGUUGCGGAUCUUGGAACUAGGUAUCUUGACAAUGGAUUCAGUCUCCGGUCCCCAGCGACCAGUGUCCGAGGAGUAGCACCGGAGCACCGUGGACAGCCCACCGCUGCGGUGGUGGUUGUAGAUGAGCAGAAUACGGAAGAAGUCGUGGCAGCCCGGCGGACAGAGAUUGUGGCUGGGUUUCCGCCUAGGAUCCAACCUGUCCUCCGGCGCUGCCGCCGCAGUCUACGUGAUCCCACCGCAAUCUUACCAGAUCUCUCCGGCGGUUCUUGUCCCUGGUUCGUCCUGGCGACGUUCCAGGUCUGCAUGGGGUCGACGCACACACUGAAGGGGGGAGAGGGGGUUGCGAAGGAAGUCCAGGAGGGCGAUCACCUUGAAGGAGAGAAGAUGAUGGAGGCAGGACAAAGCGGGCAUUCUGUGCCGCCCAUCAGGGAAAACCUAGUAGAUGACCUGAUGGAGGAGGAGGAGGAAGCGGACAUGGAGGAGGAGAAGGAUGGUAGCUGGGAUCACCUUGGUCCAGAUCCCGAUCUUGAGGACGUGUUUGAGGGGAUGAAUCUGCACGGGGAGGAAGAGGAAGAUCUAGACUUGUCAGGAGAAGUGGAGGAUCUGAUUAAGGAUGUGAGAUGGCUGGCCCUGUUUAGGGUUCAUACCAUGUGUCCGUUUAGCCACGCAGCGCUGCUGAAUUCAAUGAGGAACGCGUGGUCUUGUGCUCAAGGUGUUACUUUCAACAUCAAAGGGCCAAAUCUUUUCCUUGCUCAAUGCCAUUGCUUGGGUGAUUGGAAGCAUGUGAUGGAUGGAGGACCAUGGCAGUUUCGCCAUGACCCGGUUGUGCUAGUUGAUUAUGAUGGAUUUACCAAUGUUGCUGAUUAUGCUUUGAACAUGUAUCCAUUAUGGGCUAGAAUCAAAGGAUUGCCAGAUGGUCUUACGAGGAAGAAAGAACUUGCUGAAAAGGUAGCAAAGAAGGUGGGUGGACCACCGUUUACAGUGGUGGUCAAUGAGGGGACGAUAAACCCCUCAAAUUAUCUGAGGGUGAGGGUGUAUGUUAAUGUGAAUACCCAUUGGUUCGUUUUGUACGCAUCACUUUAA